AAGUCGUAACAAGGUUUCCGUAGGUGAACCUGUGGAAGGAUCAUUAAAGAAUUCGGCUUCGCGGCCAAGUUCUCACCCUUUGUCAUUACCGAAACCUAAUGUUGCUUUGGCAUGGCCCCUUGGCAGUUUCCUCGGGCCUUGCCAGAGGGCUUCAUAAAGUCCCUAACGAAAUCUCUGCUGUCUGAGUACUAUGCAAUAGUUAAAA
rnacentral:misc_RNA from 1 species